CAGUCGCCGCGGUAAUACGUAGGGUGCAAGCGUUAAUCGGAAUUACUGGGCGUAAAGCGUGCGCAGGCGGUUAUAUAAGUCAGAUGUGAAAUCCCCGGGCUCAACCUGGGAACUGCAUUUGAGACUGUAUGGCUAGAGUGUGUCAGAGGGGGGUAGAAUUCCACGUGUAGCAGUGAAAUGCGUAGAUAUGUGGAGGAAUACCGAUGGCGAAGGCAGCCCCCUGGGAUAACACUGACGCUCAUGCACGAAAGCGUGGGGAGCAAACAGGAUUAGAUACCCCAGUAGUCCCUGUCUCUUAUAA
rnacentral:rRNA from 1 species